UAUGGCUCAGGAUGAACGCUAGCGACAGGCUUAACACAUGCAAGUCGAGGGCAUCACGGGAGUAGCAAUACAACUGGUGGCGACCGGCGCACGGGUGAGUAACGCGUAUGCAACCUACCUAUCAGAGGGGAAUAACCCGGCGAAAGUCGGACUAAUACCGCAUAAAACAGGGGCACCGCAUGGUGAUAUUUGUUAAAGAAAUUCGCUGAUAGAUGGGCAUGCGUUCCAUUAGGUAGUUGGUGAGGUAACGGCUCACCAAGCCGACGAUGGAUAGGGGAACUGAGAGGUUGGUCCCCCACACUGGUACUGAGACACGGACCAGACUCCUACGGGAGGCAGCAGUGAGGAAUAUUGGUCAAUGGGCGGGAGCCUGAACCAGCCAAGUCGCGUGAAAGGAAGAAGGAUCUAUGGUUCGUAAACUUCUUUUGCAGGGGAAUAAAGUGCAGGACGUGUCCUGUUUUGUAUGUACCCUGAGAAUAAGGAUCGGCUAACUCCGUGCCAGCCGCUGC
rnacentral:rRNA from 1 species